GCUCUGUAAACAACUGUUGUUUAGGCAGCGA
rnacentral:piRNA from 1 species